AUUGAACGCUGGCGGCAUGCCUUACACAUGCAAGUCGAACGGCAGCAUGGAAGAGCUUGCUCUUCUGAUGGCGAGUGGCGAACGGGUGAGUAAAGCAUCGGAACGUACCGUGUAGUGGGGGAUAACGUAGCGAAAGUUACGCUAAUACCGCAUACGCACUGAGGUGGAAAGCAGGGGAUCGCAAGACCUUGCGCUAUACGAGCGGCCGAUGUCAGAUUAGCUAGUUGGUAGGGUAAAGGCCUACCAAGGCGACGAUCUGUAGCGGGUCUGAGGGGAUGAUCCGCCACACUGGGACUGGAACACGGCCCAGACUCCUACGGGAGGCAGCAGUGGGGAAUUUUGGACAAUGGGGGAAACCCUGAUCCAGCCAUGCCGCGUGAGUGAAGAAGGCCUUCGGGUUGUAAAGCUCUUUCGGCUGGGAAGAAAUCGCACAGGCUAAUACUCUGUGUGGAUGACGGUACCAGCACAAGAAGCACCGGCUAACUACGUGCCAGCCGCCGCCGUAA
rnacentral:rRNA from 1 species